rnacentral:rRNA from 1 species
GGACCCCACUGCUAUCGGGGUGGGACUAAAACAUGCGAGUCGAGCGUCUUCAGGCUAUGGUGAAGGCGCGGCGAACGGCUCAGUAACACGUGGCUAACCUACCCUUUGGACGGGGACAACCACGGGAAACUGUGGCUAAUCCCCGAUAGAUGAGGAGGCCUGGAAUGGUUUCUCAUCCAAAAGGCGUUUAGGCCAUGCUUCUAGGCGUCGCCAAAGGAUGGGGCCGCGGCCGAUCAGGUUGCUGGUGAGGUAACGGUUCACCAAGCCUAUAACCGGUACGGGCCGUGAGAGCGGGAGCCCGGAGAUGGGCACUGAGACAAGGGCCCAGGCCCUACGGGGCGCAGCAGUUGCGAAAACUCCGCAAUACGCGAAAGCGUGACGGGGCUACCCCGAGUGCCGUCCGCUGAGGAUGGCUUUUCCACGGUGUAAGGAGCCGUGGGAAUAAGGAGAGGGCAAGCCUGGUGUCAGCCGCCGCGGUAAUACCAGCUCUCCGAGUGGUGGGGACGAUUAUUGGGCUUAAAGCGUUCGUAGCCGGCUCAGCAAGUCUUCCGUUAAAUCCAACGAUCUAAUCGUUGGGCUGCGGGAGAUACUGUUGGGCUAGGGGGCGGGAGAAGCCGACGGUAUCCUCGGGGUAGGGGUGAAAUCCUAUAAUCCCGGGAGGACCACCAGUGGCGAAGGCGGUCGGCUAGAACGCGCUCGACGGUGAGGGACGAAAGCUGGGGGAGCGAACCGGAUUAGAUACCCGGGUAGUCCCAGCUGUAAACGAUGCGGGCUAGGUGUCGGGGCGGCCACGAGCCGCUUCGGUGCCGCAGGGAAGCCGUUAAGCCCGCCGCUUGGGAAGUACGGCCGCAGGGCUGAAACUUAA